UACGUAGGGUGCGAGCGUUAAUCGGAAUUACUGGGCGUAAAGCGUGCGCAGGCGGUUCGUUAUGUCCGAUGUGAAAGCCCCGAGCUCAACUUGGGAAUGGCAUUGGAAACUGGCGGGCUGGAGUGUGGCAGAGGGGGGUGGAAUUCCACGUGUAGCAGUGAAAUGCGUAGAGAUGUGGAGGAACACCGAUGGCGAAGGCAGCCCCCUGGGCCAACACUGGACGCCUCGAGGCGCGCAGCGUGGGAU
rnacentral:rRNA from 1 species